rnacentral:rRNA from 1 species
AGAAGAUGGAUGAAUGUCUCAGCCCCACUUUUUGUUGAAUUAAUCACUGUGAAGGAAAAUUAAAAUAGUAGUAGAACCAGUUAAUUUGGGUACCUUUUGUAUAAGCGUUGGUCUAGAAAUACAAAAUAGAGUUAUUUUUGUCUCGAGAAGAAAAAAUUUAUUUGUUUAUAAGGUCUAACGUGGCAUAGUUAGAAGUAAUAGGCAAAUAAUGGCUAUAUACUAUACUGCUUUUUUUGCUAUCUAGUUUUUCCUAAAAUAUAUUUAGUGUAGCAUCUCAAGUGUUGUGGUAGUUAUAGGCAUUAAGAUAAGUUAGUGUCUUGAAUGACGUUGAGUAAAACAGUAAGUAAGCAGGUUAAGUAGGCCUAAUAUUAGUCAGUAUAUAGUUUGUUAUAGGUAGCCCUGAUGUGUUCAUAAAUUUGUUACAAAACUCAUGUAAAAAGGAAAUAAGCUUGGUAAAGUUACAAUAAUGAGUGAAUUAGUAGAUAAUAGGCGUAGAUCAGAAGGAUUAACUUAAGAGUUUUGAUUGUAAUAAUUAAUUAAAAAUGAUACUUUGUAAAGAUCUCGGCAAAAUUAUUUCUUCGAAUGUUUAACAAAAACAUUGCCCUCUGUUGUUAUGGGGGGUAAUUUCUGCCCGGUGCUGUGCGCAGUAAACGGCUGCAUUAGCGUGAGUGUACAAAGGUAGCGAGGUAAUUUGUCUCUUAAUUGGUGACGAGACAUGAACGAAGAUACGGGGAAAUGCUGUUUCACAGGGUAUAAAUUUAAUUUUACAUGUGUGUGAAGAGGCAGACAUUAGUUAGAAGGACGACAAGACCCUAAAAGCUUUAUCUUGGGGUGCUAGAAUACUAGUUCCUUCUGGUUUUGUUGGGGCAACAGGUGAAAGGAAAAGUGCUCCCCCUUUUUAAGUUAUAUAGCUGAGUAUUUGGCUUAAAGUUCAGUCGUGUAAAAAUAACCACUUUUGUUUAGUGUUAAUUAAAUAUCACAAAAGUGAAAAUGAGUAGUUACUUUAGGGAUAACAGCGUAAUUUUUCUUUAUAGUUCGUAUUGAAAGAGAAGAUUGCGACCUCGAUGUUGGAUUAAGGUGACCAGAGGGUGUAGGGGCCCUCUAAGGUUGGUUUGUUCGCCCAUAAAAACCCUUACAUGAUCUGAGUUCAGACCGGCGUAAGCUAGGUCAGUUUCUAUCCUCUAAUUAAAGAUGUGUUCAGGUUGGUACGAAAGGAUUUCUUGAUCUUGCUUUAUAGCAAAUAUUUAGGUUAAGGAAGUGUUUUGUCUUGAAAACAAAAUGAAAGCAAGUAUAUUUGCUUAUUAAUCUGG